rnacentral:rRNA from 1 species
UACGUAGGGGGCAAGCGUUGUCCGGAAUUAUUGGGCGUAAAGAGCGCGUAGGCGGUCCGAUAAGUCGGCUGUGAAAGUCAGGGGCUCAACCCUUGAAAGCCGGCCGAUACUGUCGGACUAGAGUCCGGAAGAGGCAAGUGGAAUUCCCGGUGUAGCGGUGAAAUGCGCAGAUAUCGGGAGGAACACCGGUGGCGAAGGCGGGUCUCUGGAACGCAACUGACGCUGAGACGCGAAAGCGUGGGGAGCAAACAGG